AACGGAGAGUUUGAUCCUGGCUCAGGAUGAACGCUGGCGGCGUGCUUAACACAUGCAAGUCGAACGAACCUUCGGGUUAGUGGCGGACGGGUGAGUAACGCGUGAGAAUCUGCCCUCAGGAGGGGGAUAACGGUUGGAAACGACCGCUAAUACCCCAUAUGCCUACUGGUGAAACGAAUUUCGCCUGAGGAUGAGCUCGCGUCUGAUUAGCUAGUUGGUGAGGUAAUGGCUCACCAAGGCUUCGAUCAGUAGCUGGUCUGAGAGGAUGAUCAGCCACACUGGGACUGAGACACGGCCCAGACUCCUACGGGAGGCAGCAGUGGGGAAUUUUCCGCAAUGGGCGAAAGCCUGACGGAGCAACGCCGCGUGAGGGACGAAGGCCUCUGGGCUGUAAACCUCUUUUCUCAAGGAAGAAGAUAUGACGGUACUUGAGGAAUAAGCCACGGCUAAUUCCGUGCCAGCAGCCGCGGUAAUACGGGAGUGGCAAGCGUUAUCCGGAAUUAUUGGGCGUAAAGCGUCCGCAGGCGGCUUUUCAAGUCUGCUGUUAAAGCGUGGAGCUUAACUCCAUCAUGGCAGUGGAAACUGAAAGGCUUGAGUAUGGUAGGGGCAGAGGGAAUUCCCGGUGUAGCGGUGAAAUGCGUAGAUAUCGGGAAGAACACCAGUGGCGAAGGCGCUCUGCUGGGCCAUUACUGACGCUCAUGGACGAAAGCCAGGGGAGCGAAAGGGAUUAGAUACCCCUGUAGUCCUGGCCGUAAACGAUGAACACUAGGUGUCGGGGGAAUCGACCCCUUCGGUGUCGUAGCUAACGCGUUAAGUGUUCCGCCUGGGGAGUACGCACGCAAGUGUGAAACUCAAAGGAAUUGACGGGGGCCCGCACAAGCGGUGGAGUAUGUGGUUUAAUUCGAUGCAACGCGAAGAACCUUACCAGGGUUUGACAUCCUGCGAACCUCUUAGAAAUUUGAGGGUGCCUUCGGGAAUGCAGUGACAGGUGGUGCAUGGCUGUCGUCAGCUCGUGUCGUGAGAUGUUGGGUUAAGUCCCGCAACGAGCGCAACCCACGUUUUUAGUUGCCAGCAUUUAGUUGGGCACUCUAGAAAGACCGCCGGUGAUAAACCGGAGGAAGGUGUGGAUGACGUCAAGUCAUCAUGCCCCUUACACCCUGGGCUACACACGUACUACAAUGCUACGGACAAAGGGCAGCAAACUCGCGAGAGCUAGCAAAUCCCAUAAACCGUGGCUCAGUUCAGAUCGUAGGCUGCAACUCGCCUACGUGAAGUAGGAAUCGCUAGUAAUCGCAGGUCAGCAUACUGCGGUGAAUACGUUCCCGGGCCUUGUACACACCGCCCGUCACACCAUGGAAGUUGGCCAUGCCCGAAGUCGUUACUCCAACCCUUGUGGAGGAGGACGCCGAAGGUGGGGCUAAUGACUGGGGUGAAGUCGUAACAAGGUAGCCGUACCGGAAGGUGCGGCUGGAUCACCUCCUAA
rnacentral:rRNA from 1 species